UACGUAGGGGGCGAGCGUUGUCCGGAUUUAUUGGGCGUAAAGAGCUCGUAGGCGGUUGGGUAAGUCGGGUGUGAAAACUCAGGGCUCAACUCUGAGACGCCACUCGAUACUGCUCUGGCUCGAGUCCGGUAGGGGAGCGUGGAAUUCCCGGUGUAGCGGUGAAAUGCGCAGAUAUCGGGAGGAACACCAGUGGCGAAGGCGGCGCUCUGGGCCGGAACUGACGCUGAGGAGCGAAAGCGUGGGUAGCAAACAGG
rnacentral:rRNA from 1 species